AUUGAACGCUGGCGGCAGGCCUAACACAUGCAAGUCGAACGAGUGGCGGCCGGGUGAGUAAUGACUGGGAAACUGCCCGAUGGAGGGGUAUAACUACUGGAAACGGUAGCUAAUACCGCAUACCAUCGGAUGUGCCCAGAUGGGAUGAGCUAGUAGGUGGGGUAACGGCUCACCUAGGCGACGAUCCCUAGCUGGUCUGAGAGGAUGACCAGCUACCCUGGAACUGGGACACGGUCAAGAUGCCUACGGGAGGCAGCAGUGGGGAAUUUUGGAAAAGUGGAGCAAGCCUGAAGCAGCAAUGCCGCGUGUAUGAAGAGGGCCUUCGGGUUGUAAAGUACUGAUAGCGAGGAGGCGUUACUCGCAGAAGAAGCACCGGCUAACUCCGUGCCAGCAGCCGCGGUAAUAC
rnacentral:rRNA from 1 species